GACGAACGCUGGCGGCGUGCUUAAAAACAUGCAAGUCGAACGGACUUCUCAUGAAGCUUGCGAUUGAGAAGUUAGUGGCGGACGGGUGAGUAACGCGUGGGCAACCUGCCCCUGAGCCCGGGAUAACAGUUCGAAAGGACUGCUAAGACCGGAUAUACUUGCGGGGAAGCAUUUCACUGCAAGGAAAGGGAACGCUCAGGGAUGGGCCCGCGUCCCAUUAGCUAGUUGGUGAGGUAACGGCCCUACCAAGGCGACGAUGGGUAGCCGGCCUGAGAGGGUGAACGGCCACACUGGGACUGAGACACGGCCCAGACUCCUACGGGAGGCAGCAGUUGGGAAUCUUCGGCAAUGGGCGCAAGCCUGACCGAGCAACGCCGCGUGAGUGAUGAAGGUUUUCGGAUUGUAAAGCUCUGUCUUCCGGGACGAUAAUGACGGUACCGGAGGAGGAAGCCACGGCUAACUACGUG
rnacentral:rRNA from 1 species